rnacentral:piRNA from 1 species
AAUUUGCCUGGAUUUAUUAGAUCUUAUCGC